ensembl:rRNA 5S_rRNA 5S ribosomal RNA
GACGAUGGCCACACCACCCUGCAGGCACUGGAUCUUGCCUGAUCUUGGAAGCGAAGCAGGGUUGGGCCUGCUUAGUACUGGGAUGGGUGACUGCAGGAAGGAUUUUGCCCAUGUGAAGGUAAGCAAUCUAUUGGCA